AGCAGCCGCGGUAAUUCCAGCUCCAAUAGCGUAUAUUAAAGUUGUUGCAGUUAAAAAGCUCGUAGUUGAAUUUCGGGAUUGACACAUCGGUCGUGCCUUAAGGGGUAUGAACUGGUGUAGUCAAUUUCUCACCUUCUGGAGAACCGCGAUGCCCUUAAUUGGGUGUCGUGGGGAACCAGGACCUUUACUUUGAAAAAUUAGAGUGUUUAAAGCAGGCAUUUUGCUUGAAUACAUUAGCAUGGAAUAAUAAAAUAGGACGGCAUGAUUCUAUUUUGUUGGUUUCUAGGAUCACCGUAAUGAUUAAUAGGGAUAGUUGGGGGCAUUGGUAUUCAAUUGUCAGAGGUGAAAUUCUUGGAUUUAUUGAAGACUAACUACUGCGAAAGCAUUUGCCAAGGAUGUUUUCAUUAAUACAAGAACGAAAGUUAGGGGAUCGAAGACGAUCAGAUACCGUCGUAGUCUUAACCAUAAACUAUAGCCGACUAGGAAU
rnacentral:rRNA from 1 species